CGAGCUUCCCAAGAAGAUUAAGAUUGAACUGUUCAUCAAACCCAUGGAAUGGAGGUAGAGGUCUCGAGCUUCCCAAGAAGUUUAAGAUAGAACAGUUCAUCAAACCCUUAGAAUGGAGGAAGAGGUCUCGAGCUUCCCAAGAAGAUUAAGAUUGAACUGUUCAUCAAACCCCGCGAACCGCCAUUGACUUCAAUAGGCAGGCGAACUUUAAAACCUACAAGGACUCUUUCUGGCCACAAUAGUGAUGGAAAAGUUGUUUCAAGGGGACUAACACCUGGACUGUGGCAUCAAACCCAUGGAAUGGAGGAGGGGGAUCCCUGGCAAAACUCCCAUGAAAAAUUACAUAGAUUAUGCAGAGUCUGCUUUUAACCCAUAAAGGGCCUAAAUCACCUAACAUUCCCAAAUUGUUUGCAAAAAUUUGCUUUAAUACAUCA